rnacentral:misc_RNA from 1 species
GAUAUACCAGAUCGGAUCUAUUUCACAAAGAAAAUGCUAAAUAACCUUAUAACGUGGGGCAGCUUCUGCCCCCAACGGAUCCAGAAUGUACUAUUACACAGCAUUCAUGUGCACUUUACUGCCCCAAAUCAAAUAUUUCUACUGGUAAGUGUUGUCAUCAACAAUGUUCAAACUGGAGUGAAUCGUUUGCAGAGAAAAAAUACGGUUUCAGAUUGCAAGGUACCUCAUACAUGUUUCAAGCUCAUGCUCAAGGCUACUUGACACCGUGGUACUAGAUGAAAUACAACUGCAUACAUCUUUUGCCCAGAUGAUUUAAAAAAAAUAAUGUUUUUGCAACAAAUACACAUUUAUCGCCAAUGUCAGGACGUGUGGUAUUAAAUUUAAAUGCUCUAUCAAACACUGGGCUAUUUCUCGUUCCAGCCAGUGCACCACGACUGGUAUAUCAAAGGCCAUGGUAUGUACUACCCUCUCUGU